rnacentral:rRNA from 1 species
UACGUAGGGGGCAAGCGUUGUCCGGAUUUAUUGGGCGUAAAGAGCGUGUAGGCGGCCGUACAGGUCAGCUGUGAAAACUCGAGGCUCAACCUCGAGACGUCGGUUGAAACCGUACGGCUAGAGUCCGGAAGAGGAGAGUGGAAUUCCUGGUGUAGCGGUGAAAUGCGCAGAUAUCGGGAAGAACACCCGUGGCGAAGGCGGCUCUCUGGGACGGUACUGACGCUGAGACGCGAAAGCGUGGGGAGCGAACAGG